GUUAGUUGCCAUCAUUCAGUUGGGCACUCUAGCGAGACUGCCGGUAAUAACCGGAGGAAGUGGGGAUGACGUCAAAUCAUCAUGCCCCUUAUGACCUGGGCUACACACGUGCUACAAUGGUUGGUACAACGAGUUGCGAGUCGGGUGACGGCGAGACUAAUCUCUUAAAGCCAAUCUCAGUUCGGAUUGUAGGCUGCAACUCGCCUACAUGAAGUCGGAAUCGCUAGUAAUCGCGGAUCAGCACGCCGCGGUGAAUACCGGUUCCCGGGCCUU
rnacentral:rRNA from 1 species